rnacentral:rRNA from 2 species
AGAGUUUGAUCAUGGCUCAGGAUGAACGUUGGCGGCGUGCCUAAUACAUGCAAGUCGAACGAAGAUUGUAGUAAUACUGUCUUAGUGGCGAACGGGUGAGUAACGCGUGGGUGACCUGCCCCGAAGUGUGGGAUAACAGUUCGAAAGGACUGCUAAUACCGCAUAAUAUCCAAGAGAUUAGAUGCUUUUGGAUUAAAGGAGUAAUUCGCUUCGGGAGGGGCCCGCGUCCCAUCAGCUAGUUGGUAAGGUAAUGGCUUACCAAGGCGAUGACGGGUAGGGGACCUGAGAGGGUGGCCCCCCACAAUGGAACUGAAACACGGUCCAUACACCUACGGGUGGCAGCAGUAGGGAAUAUUAGUAAUGGGCGAAAGCCUGAACUAGCAACGCCGCGUGUGCGAAGAAGGCCUUCGGGUUGUAAAGCACUUUUUGAGAGGAUGAGGAAGGACGGUACUCUCAGAAUAAGUCUCGGCUAACUACGUGCCAGCAGCCGCGGUAACACGUAGGAGGCAAACGUUAUCCGGAUUUACUGGGCGUAAAGCGCGUGUAGGUGGUUUGGUAAGUAGGGCGUGAAAGCUCCCGGCUCAACUGGGAGAGGACGUUCUAAACUACCAAGCUUGAGGAUGGUAGAGGGAGGUGGAAUUCCGGGUGUAGCGGUGGAAUGCGCAGAUAUCCGGAGGAACACCAGUGGCGAAGGCGGCCUCCUGGACCAUUCCUGACACUCAGACGCGAAAGCUAGGGUAGCAAACGGGAUUAGAGACCCCGGUAGUCCUAGCCCUAAACGAUGUAGACUUGGCGUCGGUGGUUUAAACGCCAUCGGUGUCGGAGCUAACGCGUUAAGUCUACCGCCUGGGGACUACGGCCGCAAGGUUAAAACUCAAAGGAAUUGACGG